UGAGGAACAUGACCUUCGGCGGGGGAUAGCCGGCCCAACGGCCGGGUAAUACCGCGUACGACCACAUGGGGACAUCCCUGAGUGGUGAAAGCAGCAAUGCGCCGAUGGAGUGCCUCGCGGCCUAUCAGCUAGUUGGUGAGGUAACGGCUCACCAAGGCGACGACGGGUAGCUGGUCUGAGAGGAUGGCCAGCCACAUUGGGACUGAGACACGGCCCAGACCUCGUACGGGAG
rnacentral:rRNA from 1 species